rnacentral:rRNA from 1 species
UGAGUAACGCGUAGGAAUCUGCCUCAUAGUGGGGGACGAACGUGGGGAAACUCACGCUAAUACCGCAUACGCCCUACGGGGGAAAGCGGGGGAUCUUCGGACCUCGCGCUAUGAGAUGAGCCUGCGUUAGAUUAGCUAGUUGGUAGGGUAAAGGCCUACCAAGGCGACGAUCUAUAGCUGGUCUGAGAGGACGAUCAGCCACACUGGGACUGAGACACGGCCCAGACUCCUACGGGAGGCAGCAGUGGGGAAUAUUGGACAAUGGGCGCAAGCCUGAUCCAGCAAUACCGCGUGUGUGAAGAAGGCCUUAGGGUUGUAAAGCACUUUCAAUUGGGAGGAAAACCUGCCGGUCAAUACCCGGUAGCUUGACAUUACCUUUAGAAGAAGCACCGGCUAACUCCGUG